UACGUAGGUGGCGAGCGUUGUCCGGAUUUACUGGGUGUAAAGGGCGUGUAGGCGGGAUAGCAAGUCAGAUGUGAAAUACCAAGGCUUAACUUUGGGGGUGCAUUUGAAACUGUUAUUCUUGAGUGUCGGAGAGGGAAGCGGAAUUCCUAGUGUAGCGGUGAAAUGCGUAGAUAUUAGGAGGAACACCAGUGGCGAAGGCGGCUUUCUGGACGAUAACUGACGCUGAGGCGCGAAAGCGUGGGGAGCGAACAGGAUUAGAUACCCUGGUAGUCCCU
rnacentral:rRNA from 1 species